CCUACGGGCGGCAGCAGUGAGGAAUAUUGGUCAAUGGGGGAAACCCUGAACCAGCAACGCCGCGUGAGGGAAGACGGUUUUCCGGUUGUAAACCUCUGUCCUCUGUGGAGUUAAGGACGGUAGGAGAGGAGGAAGGUACGGAUAACUACGAGCCAGCAGCCGCGGUAAUACGUAGGGAGCAGGCGUUAUCCGGAUUUACUGGGUGUAAAGGGGGCGUAGGGGGGGCUGCAAGUCUGAAGUGCAGUCCUUGGGCUCAACCCGUGAGUUGCUUUUGAAACUGUAGGCCUUGAGUGCAGAUGAGGCAGGCGGAAUUCCCGGUGUAGCGGUGAAAUGCGUAGAGAUCGGGAGCACCGCCAGUGGCGAAGGCGUCCUGCUGGGCUUUAACUGACGCUGAUGCACGAAAGCGUGGGUAGCAAACAGGAUUAGAUACCCGUGUAGUC
rnacentral:rRNA from 1 species